GGCUGGUCUGCGUGCAGUGGCACCUACAAUUAAUUGAUCACAGCCAGUUACAGAUUUCUUUGUUCCCUCUGCACUCCCACUGCUUCACUUGACUAGCCUUAA
rnacentral:Y_RNA from 1 species